rnacentral:rRNA from 1 species
AGUGAACGCUGGCGGUAGGCCUAACACAUGCAAGUCGAACGGCAGCACAGUAAGGGCUUGCUCUUACGGGUGGCGAGUGGCGGACGGGUGAGGAAUACAUCGGAAUCUACUUUUUCGUGGGGGAUAACGUUGGGAAACUUACGCUAAUACCGCAUACGACCUACGGGUGAAAGCAGGGGAUCUUCGGACCUUGCGCGAUUGAAUGAGCCGAUGUCGGAUUAGCUAGUUGGCGGGGUAAAGGCCCACCAAGGCGACGAUCCGUAGCUGGUCUGAGAGGAUGAUCAGCCACACUGGAACUGAGACACGGUCCAGACUCCUACGGGAGGCAGCAGUGGGGAAUAUUGGACAAUGGGCGCAAGCCUGAUCCAGCCAUACCGCGUGGGUGAAGAAGGCCUUCGGGUUGUAAAGCCCUUUUGUUGGGAAAGAAAAGCAGCAGGUUAAUACCCCGCUGUUCUGACGGUACCCAAAGAAUAAGCACCGGCUAACUUCGUG